rnacentral:lncRNA from 1 species
UACAGGAAUUGUGGGUAAGUACAGUCACUUCUGCUCCAUGAAAGUGAGGUCAUCAUUCGUUUCAGGAAGUUGAGUGAGGCCUGAGACAGCAAUGUUUCGUUUAGCCUGGCGGUGGCCCUCCUUGUCUUCAAGAAGAGCAUCCGUGGCUAGCAGUGGAAGAUGGGGUUGGGCCCCAGGACUGACCAGGCAGUUCUGCCACCUUCUAGGAGUGUGAAAUUGGGAAGUAAUUCAAAAUGUAUGUGCCUAGCAUUCCUUUUAUGUAACAUGAGGGGAAUAGAAGUACCAAACCGAUGCAGUUCAGUGGAGAAUUAAAUGAGAUAGUCACAAGUAAAAGGUGGUAAGUGUGGUUCAUUUUAUUAAUUUUCUUUUAAUUUCCCGAGAAGCCCCAGUUACCUGAAAGCUUCUGUGAGCCUGGGAAGGGAUCAGAGUUCCACCUGCAGUGCUAUUUUGCCCCUUCUUUCUGAUCCUUACAGGAAGCAGGACGAUUCCUGGAUUCCCUUUUUAAAAAAAUGGUCACAGGAAUGAGGAAAGAAUGACUCUGGCUCCUAGCAGCAGAAUCUUAACUGAAGACGCGAUCUUACUGCAUUGACCAGGAUGGUCUCAAACUCCUGGCUACAGGCUAUCCUCCUGCCUCUGUCUCCCAAAGCGCUGGGAUUACAAGCGUGAGCCACCAGGCCUGGCCCAAUUGCUUCUUAACAACUUACUAUUCUUUGUUCACUACAGUGUAUACAUAACUGACUUUUUAUUUGGAUCUUCAUUUUGUAAUGAAGGCUCUGGUCACAUGUAAGACUUGUAUUAAAUAAAUUUGCCUGCUGUUCUGUUAAUCUGUGUUAUGCUAAUUUAAUUCUUGAGCCCAGCUGGGUCCUGGAGAGGAUAGAGUGAAAUUUUGUGGCAGCUACGUAAGUCAAUGAAAUUGGAAACAGAAAAACAAUCUUUAAAAAUCAAUAAAAUCAUAAACUUAUUCUUUGAGAAGAUCAAUAUAGUUUAUAAACCUUUCAACUGACUCACCCACAGGGAAAAAGAAGAAAACAAAAAUCAGGAGGGAGGGAAUGUUAUUACAAAUUUUGCGGAUAUUAAAAGGAUUAUAAGGGAACAUUACAAACAACUCCUUGUCCAUAAAUUGAUCAAUUUACAUGACAUGGAAUAUUACUUGAAAGGCACAAACUACCAAAGCUCACUCAGGAAGAAUGGAUAACCUAGAUACUUGCGUGUAUGUAUGUGUGUGCAUACAUACAAUUUUUACACACACACACACACACACACAUAUAUAUAUAUAUAUGCACAGUUAAUUUUUUCUAUCUUUUGUAGAGAUGGGUUUUUACCAUGUUGCCUGGGCUGGUCUUGAACUCCUGGGCUCAAGCGCUCUGCCCACCUUGGCCUCCCAAAGUGCUGGGAUUACAGGCUUGAAACACUGCACCUGCCUGGCCUGAUAUAUAUUUCAAAACUGAUUUAAUAGAUAAAGCCUUCCAACAACAACAAUAAAAAAAACAAUAUUGAGAUGAAUUCAUUGGUGGAUUCUACUAAACAUUUAAAGAGUAAAGAUGUGAAUUUUAAAUAAACCCAGAAACAAAAAGAGAAGGGAACACCCA